rnacentral:rRNA from 1 species
AUUGAACGCUGGCGGCAGGCCUAACACAUGCAAGUCGAACGGUAGCACAGAGAGCUUGCUCUCGGGUGACGAGUAGCGGACGGGUGCGUAAUGUCUGGGAAACUGCCCGAUGGAGGGGGAUAACUACUGGAAACGGUAGCUAAUACCGCAUAACGUCGCAAGACCAAAGUGGGGGACCUUCGGGCCUCACACCAUCGGAUGUGCCCAGAUGGGAUUAUCUAGUAGGUGGGGUAAUGGCUCACCUAGGCGACGAUCCCUAGCUGGUCUGAGAGGAUGACCAGCCACACUGGAACUGAGACACGGUCCAGACUCCUACGGGAGGAAGCAGUGGGGAAUAUUGCACAAUGGGCGCAAGCCUGAUGCAGCCAUGCCGCGUGUAUGAAGAAGGCCUUCGGGUUGUAAAGUACUUUCAGCGGGGAGGAAGGCGGUGAAGUUAAUAACUUCACCGAUUGACGUUACCCGCAGAAGAAGCACCGGCUAACUCCGUGCCAGCCGCCGCGGUAA